AUGGCGAACACUAGCGUUGUGACCUGCUUCUGGCCACUAGUACAGACACAUCACCGAUUUGAGGUUGGAGUAGAAAGGGACAAGAGGGAUGGCAAGGGGUGGCGACGCGCCGGGCCGAGCGAGGGUGGUAGUCGGUGCUCACAAGUAAGGGGUAAGAUAGAAGAGAUAGUAAAGAAGGCAGUGGUGUUGCGGAGUCAAGGAAGGAGAAAAGCAAGCAACGAAGAAGGUUGUGAUGCCAUGAAAGACGAGGAACGAGGGAGGCAAGCAGCGGAGAGAAGGACAAUUGAUGCUGGCGGCGGAAGGCGGCCAGUGGAGUGGGAGGAAGAGAACUAGGGUUUUGGGA
rnacentral:lncRNA from 1 species